GAUGAACGCUAGCUACAGGCUUAACACAUGCAAGUCGCGGGGCAGCAUGAAUUUAGCUUGCUAAAUUGAUGGCGACCGGCGCACGGGUGAGUAACGCGUAUCCAACCUUCCCCUGUCCACGGGAUAGCCCGUCGAAAGGCGGAUUAAUACCGUAUGAGGUCACACGAUGGCAUCAGACUGUGACGAAAGGUUUUGCGGACAGGGAUGGGGAUGCGUCCGAUUAGGUAGUCGGCGGGGUAACGGCCCACCGAGCCGACGAUCGGUAGGGGUUCUGAGAGGAAGGUCCCCCACAUUGGAACUGAGACACGGUCCAAACUCCUACGGGAGGCAGCAGUGAGGAAUAUUGGUCAAUGGGCGGAAGCCUGAACCAGCCAAGUAGCGUGCAGGAUGACGGCCCUACGGGUUGUAAACUGCUUUUAGGCGGGGGUAAAGGGGCGGACGUGUUCCGCCUUUGCAAGUACCGCCAGAAAAAGGACCGGCUAAUUCCGUG
rnacentral:rRNA from 1 species